GACGAACGCUGGCGGCGUGCUUAACACAUGCAAGUCGAACGGAAAGGCCCUGCUUUUGUGGGGUGCUCGAGUGGCGAACGGGUGAGUAACACGUGAGUAACCUGCCCUUGACUUUGGGAUAACUUCAGGAAACUGGGGCUAAUACCGGAUAGGAGCUCCUGCUGCAUGGUGGGGGUUGGAAAGUUUCGGCGGUUGGGGAUGGACUCGCGGCUUAUCAGGUUGUUGGUGGGGUAGUGGCUUACCAAGGCUUUGACGGGUAGCCGGCCUGAGCGGGUGACCGGCCACAUUGGGACUGAGAUACGGCCCAGACGCCUACGGGAGGCAGCAGUGGGGAAUAUUGCACAAUGGGCGGAAGCCUGAUGCAGCAACGCCGCGUGCGGGAUGACGGCCUUCGGGUUGUAGACCGCUUUCGCCUGUGACGAAGCGUGAGUGACGGUAAUGGGUAAAGAAGCACCGGCUAACUACGUG
rnacentral:rRNA from 1 species